AUUACUAUGAUGACCAAUCACACAAAAUUUAUCGGUAAUUACAGUAUUAAUUAUCUCCAAUAGAGAGAUCACAUCUGGAACAAUAGCAUCAGUGGAAGAUACUCCAUGGUAUCCGUGGAGUAUCUAAUCCAUCAUAUUCUUUGAAGAUCAAUUCUUCUUUUACAGACACUGAAAAGAUAAAUGAAAAUUCAAAAGAAGGCCUAGUUUACACACCAUCAACAUAUGGAAGUAAUGCGGGGAGCCGCAAAGAGAAGAGUAAGAAGUACCUCCGAAACCGUAAGACACUAAGCUACUGCUAUAAGCCAAGGAUAUAGCCAAUAGAAAUACAAUGUGAAAAUAUCUACAUUAAAAAAGAAGAAAGAUCUAAAGAGUAAGGGCCCAGGCAGCUGAGGCAAGCAUAUCUCUGACAUUCACAGAAUACCAAUGAAGCUAAGGUCACCAGUACGUCAUGCAAGUGGGAGCUGAGAAUCCUGAAAGAGUUGAGUGCACAUGGCAUCUUCUCUCAUUGAUGACGCCGAUGAAGAGAUCGCCCCGUAUAACAAGAGAAGAAAGUUAUAAUCUCACAAACCAAUUGCUAAAUUUCACCAAAGUGAUUGCUUUAAAAUAUUACUGGGAAGAAACUGGGAAUUUACAUCAAGAGUUCUAGAAAUGAGUUAAAGGGACAAAAUAGAAGAGGUAUGCCAGCUUUAAAAAAAUGGGACCAUGCAGCUGUGCACCAUAUGUCUACCUGAAGUAUGCCAAUUAUAUGUCAUAAAAGAAGGAUGGAGACAAAAUCUGGCUAAAUCAGUGAAAGGCUGUCUUAACCAGUGAAAAUCACCUUGUCUGAAUUGAAAAAACCCAUCCAAGAACCUGGACCAACACUGAUUGAAAUCAAAGAGUUAAUCUGAUUUUAUGUUUUCCUAAUUCAAAUGAUUUUUUUUUUCAGCCUACCCCCAAAGGUUUGGAAAUAUACAAAUACCAGUUUUUAAUGCACAACUCUGUAGAUGACUGUGAAUAUAAAUUUUGCAUUUUAUAAGUCAUAAUUUUAGAAUUUAUUAUCAAUUCAUCCCAAAUAGGUUAACAUAUGAACUUCGUACCAAAGAAGAUUUACUCAAAGUAGUAAAUAACUGUGUUUUUCUACAAAUUAUAUACAGUCUUAAUUUGGAAAAAUAUAUAACAAAUAUUUUAUUAAUAGUGGUUUAUUGGCUAAUAUAUCAGCUUUCCAAAGAUAAAGCAUUAAAAACAUACAUUCUAAAUUAAAUACUUAGACACUCAUUCACAUUUGAAAUAAGAUCUUUUAAAAGAAAUAGAAAGCAGUGCCUGGCUGACUCAGUUGGUAGAGCAUAUGACCCUUGAUCUCAGGGUAAUGGUUUCAGUCUCACAUUGGAUGUAGAGAUUACUUAAGGAAAUUAAAAAAUAAUAAUAAUUAAUUCUCUUUUAAAAAUAAGAAAUAAAAAGAGGUGAUGGAGAAACUAACGUUAAAUUAUUUUAUCUCUUGUUAUGUCUUUUAUGUUUGACAAUUAUUUGUGACCAAUUUAUUCACAUAGACUAUUUCUAGUUAGAUCACAACAGGCCACUUGCAUACUACAACUGAAUUUAGAAGUCUUUACGAGUGGUCACUUGAUAUAGGAAAUGUGAUUUAUAUUUUAGAUGUAUAGAUCAAAAGGAAAUUUGUUAAAUGGCAUUUAACAAAUUUCUACUGUUAGAAAUAAUGAGAGAAUUCCACAAUGUGGAUGUAUAUGAGAUGCAAUAUCAAAAAAAAGAACAAUUCUUGCAGCAACAAAGAAAUGUACUAAAAUUUUUAUAAAAUUAUCCUAUUCACAAUUACAACAAAUUUGUAAUGUACAUAAGAAUAAUCAUAACAAGAAAUCUGUGGGAUUAUAAUAAGAAAAUAAAUAAAUUUUACUAAAAUAUUUUAAAACAAUGUAUUAUCAAUUAUUGAUUUUGAUAUUGAUUAUAAAUAUAAAGAUGAACAUAAAUUGAUUAUAAAUUAUAAUAUAUGUAAGUCCUGGAGAUGUAAUGUACAGUAUAUGCCUAUAGUUAUUAAUAAUGUAUUACAUACUUGAAAGUCACUAAGAAAAUAGAUCUUAAAAGUUCUCAUCAUAAGAAAAAAUUACAUAACUAUUUGGUAAUGGAUGGGUUGACUAGAUUUUUGGUGAUCAUUUAAUAAUUUAUACAUACUGAAUCAUUAUGUUAUACACCUGAAACUAAUUUAAUGUUAUAUUUCAAUUGUAUCUCCAUACAAAUAUUUUUUAAAAGAAAAUAAAUUAAGCAAAACAUAUAUGAUCAUGGAUAUGAAGGUUCAGUAUUAGAGAGACAUUAUUUUCCAUAUUUUUUCCAUUUUCCAUAUUUCCAUAUACCCUUAUUUUCCAUAAGUUAAUAUAGUAAUUAAAUUACAUCUUAAUCAAAAUCCAAAAAUGGGUUUUUUAUGGAAAAUUAUGCUUGACUUUAAAACUCAUGGGGCACCUGGGUGGCUCAGUGGGUUAAAGCCUCUGCCUUCAGCUCAGAUCAUGAUCCCAGGGUCCUGGGAUUGAGCCCCGCAUCGGGCUUUCUGCUCAGCAGGGAGCCUGCUUCCUCCUCUCUCUCUGCCUGCCUCUCUGCCUACUUGUGAUCUCUGUCUGUCAAAUAAAUAAAUAAAAUCUUUAAUAAAAAAAUAAAAUAAAACUCAUAGGGCAAAAUAAAUGCACAUUAAAA